rfam:Mycobacterium sp. ACS4331 contig_21, whole genome shotgun sequence.
ACCGGCCCGUGCAUCGUGGCCUCUGUCCGAAUCGGCCCUGGCGUACUUCCCCAACGCCAGGUCCGCAUCGGGCAGGGACCUCGAUGUGCGGGUGGCCAACC